AUGGCUGUCGUCAGCUCGUGUCGUGAGAUGUUGGGUUAAGUCCCGCAACGAGCGCAACCCUUGUCCUAUGUUGCCAGCGGAUAAUGCCGGGGACUCGUAGGAGACUGCCGGGGUCAACUCGGAGGAAGGUGGGGACGACGUCAAGUCAUCAUGCCCCUUAUAUCCAGGGCUGCAAACAUGCUACAAUGGCCGGUACAAAGGGCUGCAAAACCGCGAGGUUGAGCGAAUCCCAUAAAGCCGGUCUCAGUUCGGAUUGGAGUCUGCAACUCGACUCCAUGAAGGCGGAGUCGCUAGUAAUCCCGGAUCAGCAACGCCGGGGUGAAUACGUUCCCGGGCCUUGUACACACCGCCCGUCACACCACGAAAGUCGGCAACACCCGAAGGUUGCGAUUACGUGAACGAAGGUGAGCUUGGUGAUUGGGAUGAAGUCGUAACAAGGUAGCCGUAGGGGAACCUGCGGCUGGAUCACCUCCUUUCUAGGGAGUACUGAGGCAAGCUUGCUUGCCUUGGAAGGUCGAACAUUUCCGGAUAUCAAACUUGUUUGAUAAAAAGAAAUGAUUGGUGGAAGCCAUUACACAAUUUAGUUUUCAAAGAGUGAAAUGCUCUUUGUCAAGACGGGUGAAUAGAAACAACCAGGCCGAGCUUCGGCGCUGAUCAAAACGGGGCUGUAGCUCAGUUGGUAGAGCGCCUGCUUUGCAAGCAGGAUGUCAGGAGUUCGAGUCUCCUCAGCUCCACCAUCCCUUGCCGGACCUGUGCAAACAGGGCCUGUAGCUCAGUUGGUUAGAGCACGCGCUUGAUAAGCGCGGGGUCGCUGGUUCGAGUCCAGCCUGGCCCACCACCCGCCUAAACCGAAACACGAAUUUUGCCCCCUCCUGCUGGAAGGGGCGGUCGUUCUUUGACAACCCUGCAUGGAAAAAAUGCCAUGCAACUUUGUUCGGCGCCAAUAGUAUAUAUUACUAUGGUAAGUUGAUACAUUUAGAUAAGCUACUAAGGGCACGAGGUGAAUGCCUUGGUGCUGGGAGGCGAUGAAGGACGUGGUUACCUGCGAUAAGCCCCGGAGAGUCGGAAAUAGACUUUGACCCGGGGAUUUCCGAAUGGGGAAACCCGG
rnacentral:sRNA from 1 species